rnacentral:ncRNA from 2 species
CGAGGUCCCGCUCUCUCGGUCGAGCGGCGGGUCUGAGAAGGACCGCGCUCGUGAGAGCGCGAGGCUGUAACAGAAACACACCCCGCGGGGUUUGAACGACAGCCUCGACCGGCAGUGCCUGAGUGCGAUCGUCCGCUUAACACAAUUCAGACUAGUCUUCG